GUCCAGUUGACGAAUCCCAAACAGGAUGAAAUGCGCGUUAUCCUGGAU
rnacentral:hammerhead_ribozyme from 1 species